rnacentral:rRNA from 1 species
UACGAAGGGGGCUAGCGUUGCUCGGAAUCACUGGGCGUAAAGCGCACGUGGGCGGAUCUUUAAGUCAGGGGUGAAAUCCCGGAGCUCAACUCCGGAACUGCCUUUGAUACUGAGGGUCUUGAGUCCGGGAGAGGUGAGUGGAACUGCGAGUGUAGAGGUGAAAUUCGUAGAUAUUCGCAAGAACACCAGUGGCGAAGGCGGCUCACUGGCCCGGUACUGACGCUGAGGUGCGAAAGCGUGGGGAGCAAACAGG